rnacentral:rRNA from 1 species
UCGAGAAUUUUUCUCAAUGGGGGAAACCCUGAAGGAGCGACGCCGCGUGGAGGAUGAAGGCUUUCGGGUUGUAAACUCCUGUCAUUUGGGAACAAGUUGUGCGUAUUAACUGUACGGGCAUUGAUAGUACCAGAAGAGGAAGAGACGGCUAACUCUGUGCCAGCAGCCGCGGUAAUACAGAGGUCUCGAGCGUUGUUCGGAUUCAUUGGGCGUAAAGGGUGCGUAGGUGGCGCUGUAAGUCGGGUGUGAAAUCCUGAGGCUUAACCUCGGAACUGCAUUCGAUACUGCGGUGCUUGAGGACUGGAGAGGAGACUGGAAUUCAUGGUGUAGCAGUGAAAUGCGUAGAGAUCAUGAGGAAGACCAGUGGCGAAGGCGGGUCUCUGGACAGUUCCUGACACUGAGGCACGAAGGCCAGGGGAGCAAACGGGAUUAGAUACCCCCGUAGUCC